CGGCCGAUAACCAUUCGUGAUGGUUAUGGUAUAUCUGAGUUGACUAACCGACCAUAUAUCGGUAGAAUCCAUGAGCGAUCGUCGGCUAGUAGUUCUAUUAUAUAGAUGGUCUAAGUCAUCUGCUGUCGAUUGGUAGUAAUCGAAUCAUUAGUCGGUUAGCUAGCAAUAGAUCGGUGCGGUUCGUUCAAUUAGUCGAUGAAG
rnacentral:lncRNA from 1 species